UCUGAGUUGGAGGGCUCUUUCUGUCUGCUGGAGAUCUGAGCGGAGGGGCUCUACCCCGUUCCACUGUCUAGGCACGAGGAAGUUGAGGGGGAGGCCUUCCCCUCUCCAGAAGGCUGAAAGCCGAUUCCUCUUCUUUCCCUGGAGUGGCUUCUGAACGGGGAGAGGUUGCUCGCGUCCCCGCUCCCGCCUCCGCUCCCGGGGUGCCCCAGAGGGUGGGGCUUUCGUACUCCCGGCUCUCCCUGAGCUGGCCUGGGCAGCACGGUCCGGGAGGCCGCGGCUCGAGACUCCGGUCCCUGCUACUGUGGCGGCAGCACCUCCUCUAGGGCCGUCCUAUCCGGUCCGCUCCCUUCGGCGCGUGGGGCUCCCAGCGCUGCCACCGCUCGGGCUCCGGCCAGUCCGGGCUCCCGGGGAGCCAGAAGGCGGACGGACAGUGUCAGGGCUCGGCGCGGGCUCGGGCUCGGCUCGGCUCCGCUGCAGGCCCCGGCUCCUCCCCGGCCUCCGCGCCGCGCUCCGAGCCCCUCCCCCUCCCCCGCCCGCCGGCCGCCGCCGCCACCGCCUCCCGGCGCGGGUUAAGGAGGAGCCGGGCGGCGCCGAGCCGCAAGCCGCGAGCCGCGAGCCACGAGCCGCGAGCCGCGCCGUCCGGUGUGCACUCCGUCUCGAAAGCCACGGCUGCGCUCAUGCCGGCGAGGGGUCUCGCCGCCCUCGCCCCGCUGCGGCCGCGUGGCUCCGGGAGCUCGCUGUCUACCCGGGAUGACAACUCACUGCUCCCCGUCGGGAGAUUCCCUCGUGCGCACCGUACACCGUCAAUUCCAGCCGACACCCCGACCCCGGCGUUUCAUUCUGUUAAACUCCGAAAACAGAUGAACAGCCCCAGCUUUCUCAGGACUGUCUUUGAUGGGCUUCUCUUUCCCUCGAGAUAAUUUAUAAAGGAUCAUGAGCAUUGAGUUGAAGAUUGGGGUGAAGUUUACAUGUUACCCUUGUAUCAUCCUGGAAUUUAGUAAAUGCUCCUUGAAUGAGUGGAUACAUGAUAAAUGAGCGUGUAACGGUGAAAUAAACAUCAGAAGAUCUGG